UUUGAUAAUGCUGUUUUCCCAUCUGAUAUGAAGCAUUGGUCCUUCUUGGUGGGCAAAUGAUGCAAAAGGCCCACGGUCCAGAUGGACUGCAAGGAAGAGUCCAAAAACUUUUGUUCAAGAGAGUUAUCUUCUACAGUUCUAGCAAAGAUGAAGAAAUCACUGGUGCCUACCUUGGGGAGACUAUUACAAAUGCUCUUGUCAUAAUGUUAGCUUACUAUAAUUGUCAACAUCAAACUUCCAGAUGCUAGACCUAUUGUCGGUCUCAGUAUUCUGAGAAUUAUCAAAAAGUCAUUGACUGUUGCUGUUGUUUAUGGUUUUAAACAAGACGUUGGUGGUAAAAUAAAUUCUAAAGACUAACACUUAGUAAGAGAAGAUUUUCACAGACAAAAGGUCUAACAUUUUGUUUCUUAUUUCAAGUCCAAGUAUAAGAAAGACAUCAAUGAGAACAAGAGAAUUAACUCUCAUGUCUGUUCUACUUGUAAAUAUGCUGAAUGUACUUUCUGUUCAAAACUCAGGUCAAUAUUGAUACUGAUUUUCUUUAAGAUGAGGCUGACUCCUAUACCUCCAUCAUCUGUUCCAGUUCAAACAAGGAAAUGCUCAUCUGUAUUGUAGCCUUCUGAAUCUUUGGAGAAAGCCCUUCCCUAUGCAAAGCUAGACAAGUCACAGAUGAGUGUCCCCAUCCUGAUGGAUGAUUAUGCGUAUAACCUGAAUAUUCACAAAUUUUUACAGGACUUGUUCAAUGUAGAAAAUUUGACAGGAACAUCUGCCCCUGUGAGGCUGUUGUCUGUGGUGCAGCUGUUCAGGCAGGAAUCUCAUCUGGGUACAAAUCUGACAAUGUUCAACAUGUGCUGCUCUUGUAUAUCAGCAAUUUUUCCAUUGGUCUUGAACUCAAAAUGGUUCAUAUUGAACACAAUAUCAGCAUGCCCAAAAAACAGACACAGGCCUUCACUGCUUACUCAGAUAACCAGUUUAAUAUGCUCAUUCUAGUUUGUGAAGGUAGAUGUUCCAUAGCAACCUGCUUGGGAAGUUGUAACACACAGGCAUACUACUGUAUCCAUGGUGAGUCUCAAAUCAAAGUGACAAGGGCCGUUUGCUCAAAGAUGACAAUGAGUGUUCAAUUUAAGAGGCUAAGAAACACAAAGUUGAAAUGAGAAGAAGAGACAAGGUGUUCUAAGAGUUCUGUUAAAUCCCACAACUUGAACAGGAAAGCCAUAGUUGAAGGUAAGACAUAGCAACGCAGUGUCAAAGAUGAGGACAAACAUUCUUGACAAAUGUAAUGAAAUCAUGAACAAGUUUGUUGAGAAUAACAUUGCAAGGAAAGAUAAAUUUGGAUAUCAGCAAAAAGAGAUGGAGAAAGUCUGCAACCUCAGCAUUGUCAAGCU
rnacentral:lncRNA from 1 species